rnacentral:rRNA from 1 species
UCCUACGGGAGGCAGCAGUAGGGAAUCUUCCGCAAUGGGCGAAAGCCUGACGGAGCGACGCCGCGUGAGCGAAGAAGGCCUUCGGGUCGUAAAGCUCUGUUGUGAGGGACGAAGGAGCGCCGUUCGAAGAGGGCGGUACGGUGACGGUACCUCACGAGAAAGCCCCGGCUAACUACGUGCCAGCAGCCGCGGUAAUAAAAA